rnacentral:rRNA from 1 species
CCUACGGGGGGCUGCAGUGGGGAAUAUUGGACAAUGGGGGCAACCCUGAUCCAGCCAUGCCGCGUGUGUGAAGAAGGCCCUCGGGUUGUAAAGCACUUUCAGUGAGGAAGAACGCCUGGUGGUUAAUACCCAUCAGGAAAGACAUCACUCACAGAAGAAGCACCGGCUAACUCCGUGCCAGCAGCCGCGGUAAUACGGAGGGUGCGAGUGUUAAUCGGAAUUACUGGGCGUAAAGCGCGCGUAGGUGGCUUGAUAAGCCGGUUGUGAAAGCCCCGGGCUCAACCUGGGAACGGCAUCCGGAACUGUCAAGCUAGAGUGCAGGAGAGGAAGGUAGAAUUCCCGGUGUAGCGGUGAAAUGCGUAGAGAUCGGGAGGAAUACCAGUGGCGAAGGCGGCCUUCUGGACUGACACUGACACUGAGGUGCGAAAGCGUGGGUAGCAAACAGGAUUAGAUACCCCAGUAGUC